CCGGGCUGCCGAAGCGGAAUGUGCACACUUAACUGCUGCGCCACCGGGCCAGCCCCUCAGCUGUGUCUUUUAUUUGGGAACUGAGGGCUGGCGGUCUUGAUCCCAAAGUCACCCGUGUAGGCAGCCCAGUGGCUGCGCAGACAGCACGGGACCCCUGGCCUCGCUCUCCUGCCUCUGGUCUAGACAAGCUGCCCGAUGCCCCUGCCCUUCAGAGCUGGCUGCAGGACAGGCUGGGCAGAGGGCAGCCCAUCCACAGCCUGCCCGCUGGACGGGCUCGGACUGCCUCCCUCUUCUCUGGACAUGGAGGCAGCAGCCACAGCCGGCGGGACUGACAGCCGCCUGCUCUGCUCCCUGCGUCUUCAAGGGCCCUGCCUGCCCUCCUGGGACGUCAUGGCCCCCUGGUAUCUGGACCUGAGCCAUCCUGAAAGGCCCUGGCUGCCAUCGGGGCCCGGGGCUUCAGUGACCUUGAAACCUUGCUCCCUGACCCCCCAGCACUUUGGGGAAGAAGUUUCUCCAUUCUCUCUGCUAGUGUGAGCACACGGGGCCCUUCCAGGUGAGUACAGAGCAGACGCCCCAUUGCCGCUCCGUCUGGGAGAAACGGCUCGGACUUAUAUGAAUUUUUAUUUUUAAUACCUGGUUAAACCCGGGUCCUUUCAGGUCCGAGGCAGUCACAGCAAUUCUGUCGUCUGAUUUAACACAGUCCCUGUAGGGUGGAGAGCCCAGCGUGGAAGGGGAAGUGUUUGAGACGUGCACAUCCAUCUUGCUGUUUUCCAGAAAGGAGCAGGGACCAGCUGGGCUGUGGCCAGAAGGAGAGAUUUAUGUUCUGUCCAGUGAGAGCCUCUCCAAAUCACUCUCCUGAUACUGUCUUCUGGGACCCCAGGAGUAUAAAGAACUAGGCCUUUUUAACGUUAUUUCUCUUGUGUUCAACACAAACCUGACGCACAGUGGCACUUAAGAAAUAUUGGUUAAAAAAUGGAACCAAGCCCAGAGGUCACCUCCUCCAAGAAGCCGUCUCCAGCCCUACCAGGUUGAAUGAAGUGCCCCUUCCCCAGAUUAAAAAGUAUACCAGGA